rnacentral:rRNA from 1 species
ACGAACGCUGGCGGCGUGCUUAACACCUGCAAGUCGAACGGAAAGGCCCUGCUUUUGUGGGGUGCUCGAGUGGCGAACGGGUGAGUAACACGUGAGUAACCUGCCCUUGACUUUGGGAUAACUUCAGGAAACUGGGGCUAAUACCGGAUAGGAGCUCCUGCUGCAUGGUGGGGGUUGGAAAGUUUCGGCGGUUGGGGAUGGACUCGCGGCUUAUCAGCUUGUUGGUGGGGUAGUGGCCUACCAAGGCUUUGACGGGUAGCCGGCCUGAGAGGGUGACCGGCCACAUUGGGACUGAGAUACGGCCCAGACUCCUACGGGAGGCAGCAGUGGGGAAUAUUGCACAAUGGGCGGAAGCCUGAUGCAGCAACGCCGCGUGCGGGAUGACGGCCUUCGGGUUGUAAACCGCUUUCGCCUGUGACGAAGCGUGAGUGACGGUAAUGGGUAAAGAAGCACCGGCUAACUACGUG